rnacentral:rRNA from 1 species
CCAUCAGUUCGGCUGGGCACUCUAUGGAGACUGCCACCUAAAGUAGGAGGAAGGUGGGGAUGACGUCAAGUCAGCAUGGCCCUUACGUCCGGGGCUACACACGUGCUACAAUGGCCGGUACAAAGGGUUGCGAAGCCGUGAGGUGGAGCGAAUCUCAAAAAGCCGGCCUCAGUUCGGAUUGGAGGCUGCAACUCGCCUCCAUGAAGUCGGAAUCGCUAGUAACCGCAGAUCAGCUACGUUGCGGUGAAUACGUUCCCGGGCCUU